GACGGAGGAUGCAAGUGUUAUCCGGAAUCACUGGGCGUAAAGCGUCUGUAGGUGGUCAAAUAAGUCAACUGUUAAAUCUUGAGGCUCAACCUCAAAAUCGCAGUCGAAACUAUUAGACUAGAGUAUAGUAGGGGUAAAGGGAAUUUCCAGUGGAGCGGUGAAAUGCGUAGAUCUUGGAAAGACCACCAAUGGCGAAGGCACUCUACUGGGCCAUGACUGACACUAAGAGACGAAAGCUAGGGGGAGCAAAUGGG
rnacentral:rRNA from 1 species